UACGUAGGAGACGAGCGUUGUCCGGAGUUACUGGGCGUAAAGGGUGCGCAGGUGGCGGCGCGCGUGGGGGGUGAAAUCGCCCGGCUUAACUGGGCGGGGCCUUCCAGACGGCGUGGCUUGAGCAGCGGAGGGGGACGUGGAAUUCCGGUGGAGCGGUGAAAUGCGCAGAUAUCAGGAGGAACACCGGUGGCGAAGGCGGAUCUCUGGGCCAUUACUGACGCUGAGGAGCGAAAGCGUGGGGAGCGAACAGG
rnacentral:rRNA from 1 species